UUAGCUGUGAACUAGUUUUCGCCUAAGUUAGUGGGAUUAUAAAUGUUGGCAAGACCUCCAUUCGGGCGCCAAGAUGAAUAGGACGAUCAUUUCUUGGUAGCGAACCUGCUUCGCCUAAGGUGAACCCUACGCCGAGUGAUCAUGGGAACCCCCAUACUCGGGGGCUUAGACGCGAACCAUCCCUCGCCUAAGUUAAAGGGGUUCCGAGUGAGAGGCAAGAUGUCACGACCGGUUUCCAAAUAAAAUACUUUAUUGGAAACCAGCCAUGUGAGUCACCGGUGUAGAAAAAUAUUUCCCACUAAUAGACUCAUCUUGAUACAGAGAACCAGUAGUACUUAAUAUUAAACGAGUAUAGUAGACGUUGCUCUACAAUUUAUUACAACAUGUCAAAGUCUCGCACAGACGGAUAUGUUAUAGUGGUAAUGGGAUAACUCCACUGCUCGUAAUAAAAGGGGCACAUCACAUCAGAGUAAUGUGAUAUGACAAGUACUACUACGUGCCAAGCGUCAGAGUGAGGCUUGAUGAUUUAUUCGUGGUGGCGGAAGCGGUGAAAUAAUACAGUGGCAGACUCCAGGAUCGCAAGACUGAUUGGGACUCCUCUAUACAUC
rnacentral:lncRNA from 1 species